AUGUUCAAUAGGCCAUCUUCUGGCAGGGCCGCCGCUGACGGAUGGGUUGGUCGGGGAGACCACGUGCUCAGCGCCCUCUCCACCCCCGCCUAUUCCCAGGUGCCUCCAAGCAGCAGCCGUCCCCAAAUACCUCGGGCUGUUAGCUGGCGGGGGCUGUGGGCCUCUGUGGAACUUGCUUCCUCCCCGGCAGGGCGGCUGCCAGCGGGCUUGCUGCUAAAUGAAGACAGGCGCCCUGUGACUAUAAAUUAUAACACACAUCAGCUCCAGCCGAUGCACCGCAUGUCCUGCAGGAGACUCCGCAGGGGACGCCUGGCCACUGCCAAAGGGCAUUCUGGACAGUGGCUCCUAUGGCAGCCGCAGGACAGAGGCCAAGCCUGCCGCUGGGCAGAGGAGCUCUGGCAGCUCCCAGAGGUUGGAGUUUCCUUCGGAUGCGGACCACGGCUUCUCUGCACUAUUGCCUUUGGCACCAGGUCCCCUGUAUUUUGCUGUGACCUUCCAUACCCUCCACUCAUCAGUGGCCCUGGUGUUGAAAUCUUCUUCUACUGACAGUACCUGAAAAAAAUCUGUUACUAAAAGUGUAUCCAUGCCUGAUGUCAAGAGGUACAACCUGGCACCUGACAACAACCAGAGAGAGUGCCCGCUGCCUGCUGGUGAACAGGCAGCACAACCUAUUGCUUGAACUAAAUGCAAGAAGGUAUUCUUGCACACCAGACCAAGAGAGUAUCCCGCAAGAACACAGGAAUCGUAUUAUGAAACAUGGGACAGACUCAUCAAUCAUUAAAGAAGGAGAGAAGAAAGCCACGAGUGUCUUUCCAAGUGAGGAUGAAUUGUGAGG
rnacentral:lncRNA from 1 species